rnacentral:rRNA from 1 species
UACGUAGGGCCUAGCGUUGUCCGGAUUUAUUGGGCGUAAAGAGCUCGUAGGCGGUUCGGUAAGUCAGGUGUGAAAUCUCCACGCUCAACGUGGAGGCGCCACCUGAAACUGCCGUGACUCGAGUCCGGUAGGGAGUGUGGAAUUCCCGGUGUAGCGGUGAAAUGCGUAGAUAUCAAGAGGAAUACCUGAGGUGAAGACGGGUUGCUAGGCCGACACUGACGCUGAGUGCGCGAAAAGCCAGGGGAGCAAAACAGG